GAGCUCAGAUGGAACAGCAUGAGAGUCUUAAUCUCAAGGGCGUGGGUUUGAACCUCACGUUAGGCG